ACUUUAUCUUGUAGCUAGAGCUUCGGAUCUUUAUGCAUCUUGCAAACUGUCAGAGCAUGUUGAAUGCCUUCAAAGCUGGUGGGGAUUUCCAUUCAAGGAUGGCAAUGAAUAUGUAUCCACCACAUAUUUGCAAGGCUGUAGAGGGAAAAGGGGUGUUGCUUGAAUGGUAGCCUCAACCUGGGGAAGACAAACCUCCAGUUCCUCUAUUAAAGGAUGCCUUUGCUUUCGAGAGAUGAAAAGCGAAAAUGCUCAACUUCUCUAUUGCAUAUGGGAAAACUCCUGUUGCGCUGGCCGGUGAUUGUAAGUGGUGCUACCAAAGAUCAUGAAGGCAAUGAGGUAUGAAAUAAUUAACGAAGUAUUUGUGAUUGCUGGAAAGGCCUCUUGAUCUAACUUGUAAACAUGGUGUCAUCGACCAAGGGACUUCAACUGUAACUGAGGUUUUGGCAAGAUCAGCGGCAUGGCUUGGAAGAGGCCUUUCUUGUGUUUGUGCUCAAAGAGGAGAGAAUGAUGCCCGUUCAUAGUUUGAACUAACCCCUUUGCAGAGGCCACAACUGGUGAAGGGGAAUAUGCAGCUUUUUUCUGUGGAUCAGCAGCAUAGUUAGGCUCUUGAAGCACAUGUUGCAUCAUUUGCUUCACUAAAGGUUGUUGGAAAUGAAAACCCUUCCAUUCUUAUUGCCUUUGCCUCAAAGACCACCAAUGCAGGACAAAUUACAUCAAAGUUACAUGUGAUUGAACUUGGUGCUCAGCAAGGUAAACCUGGUUUCACAAAGAUGAAA